CUUCAAUGUAAACAUAAAACUAAAGGUGUAUCAAAGUAAUGUUUAUUGACAGAAUGUAAAAACAUUAAAAAAAAAAAGAUCAUAUAAAAUAGCAUACCAUUAUAUGGUAUGUACGAAUUGUUCAUAGUCUUAAUAAAUAUAACAAAAUCAUCAAAAUAUCUUUCACAAUUGAGGAUAUAAUACCAGAGGUCUUUACUUUUGUAGAUUUCAUGACAUUAGUGUAGCAAACCUCAGUGUUUGGUGUAUAUAUAUUGAGAAUACUGUCAUCCUGCAGGUCAUACUUUUCUGGCAUCUACACUUAAGAAAAAUGUGUUUAUUAAUCUAAAACAUGCUUGAAGUUGUACAAUUGUAUACCUUCAUAAGUUGUGUUUGUCACAAAAGCUUUUUGAAAUAAUAGUGGAUGAAUUUUUUGUUGGUUCAAAUUAUUCUUUAAGAGAGAGUGAUAUCAAUCACAGUCUGACAUCUAUGUUACAGCUCUUCUAUAAAAGCAUGCAAAACAAAACUUUUAUCAACUUGCUUGCUAUGCUUGGAUGUUUGCAAACAAUAGAUAGGCGGAGUUUCAAUAUACACUGGGAUUUGAUUGGACAUGAAUUUAAGUUAAUGAUUAUUGCCCAAUCAGAUUCCAAUAUAUGGUAAACAAACUACCUACC
rnacentral:lncRNA from 1 species